rnacentral:lncRNA from 1 species
GAAUUACUACUUUUACUCCUAAGGGAAAAAGAACAACACAUGCAUUUGGAGGCUGGGAGAGCCAGCCUAGGAGCCCAGGGGCAUACAGCAGGACAGCAAGUCUUGACAUUUUGGAAGGGAACUUCAAGACCAUGUGAUUUAAGAGGAGAAAAAAUGAAGAUAGCCCAUGUGCCUGGAGGGCCAGCUGGCCGUGGGGAAGGCACAUAGCUAUUAUUUGGUAGCCUCUGGGCAAACACUGCGGAAAAGUUGACUAGUAAUUACUCCAGUAAAGCCAAAGUCUAGA